CAACCCUCAAGCAUUGCUUGGUGUUGGGGCACUGCUUUUAACGAAGCAGGCCCUGAAAUCUAGUGGCGAGCUCGCCAGGACCCCGAGCGUAGUAGUUAAACCCUCGCUUUGGAAGGCCCUGGCGGUGCCCUGCCGUUAAACCCCCAACUUCUGAAA
rnacentral:misc_RNA from 1 species